GCGGUGGAGCACGUUGGUUUAAUUCGAUGCAAACCGAAGAACCUUACCUGGGUUUGACAUGUACGUGUUACUGAUCUGAGAGGAGAGGGACCCAUGCUUCGGUAUGGGAGCGUACACAGGUGCUGCAUGGCUGUCGUCAGCUCGUGUCGUGAGAUGGUUGGGUUAACGUCCCGCAACGAGCGCCAACCCCUGCAUCCAGUUGCCAUCGGGCGAGCCGGGCACUCUGGAGGGACUGCCGGCGACAAGCCGGAGGAAGGUGGGGAUGACGUCAAGUCAUCAUGGCCCUUAUGUCCAGGGCGACACACGUGCUACAAUGGCCGGCACAGGCGGGAAGCGGAGGGGCGACCCUGAGCGGAUCCCUUGAAAGCCGGUCCCAGUUCGGAUUGCAGUCUGCAACUCGACUGCAUGAAGUUGGAAUCGCUAGUAAUCGCGGAUCAGCCAAGCCGCGGUGAAUACGUUCCCGGGCCUU
rnacentral:rRNA from 1 species